rnacentral:rRNA from 1 species
UGGGGGAUAUUGCACAAUGGGCGAAAGCCUGAUGCAGCGACGCCGCGUGGGGGAUGAAGGCCUUCGGGUUGUAAACUUCUUUUGCUCUGAACAAGGCAUGCCUUUGGGGUGUGUUGAGUGUAGGGGUUGAUUAGCGCCGGCUAACUACGUGCCAGCAGCCGCGGUAAUACGUAGGGCGCGAGCGUUGUCCGGAAUUAUUGGGCGUAAAGGGCUUGUAGGUGGCUGGUUGCGUCUGUCGUGAAAGCUCAUGGCUUAACUGUGGGUUUGCGGUGGGUACGGGCUGGCUUGAGUGCAGUAGCGGAGGCUGGAAUUCCUGGUGUAGCGGUGGAAUGCGCAGAUAUCAGGAGGAAUACCGGUGGCGAAGGCGGGUCUCUGGGCUGUUACUGACGCUGAGGAGCGAAAGCGUGGGGAGCGAACAGG